rnacentral:lncRNA from 1 species
CCAAUGAUCAAACACGCAUUGUGGGAAGGCCUGCCCGGAAGUUGCAGCCCUCAGUUGACCAGAGAAUCCAAAGGACUCAACGACGGGGAGGUAUGCCUUGAUGUUGUAAAGUGGAGUUCCUGGCCUCUGCAUCUCCUCAAACACAUGCCCACGUUUCUGAUUCAGAACACUGUAGAUACCGCCAAGUGCCCCCUCUGGAGCUUGAAUUUCAACGAGAUACACUGGUUCGAGAAGCCUUGGCUUGGCUGUGAGCUGAGAGGCAUAGAUGACCCUCCGAGCAGUUGGAAUGACCUGACCUCCCCCUCUGUGGAUAGCAUCAGCGUGAAGAACCACAUCACAGACUUCAAAGCAAAUACCUCUCAUGUUUUCUUCUGCCAAUGCACCUUCCUUUGAGGCCCACUGGAACCCAGCAACAACCGAAUCCUUGAUUUCAUUAAGGUACUGAACUCCCUUACACAUGUCGACCACCAUGUUGGGACCGGUGGUCUCGGGACCAAAACACCAGAUUUUCUUAGCAAGAUCCUUGUCCCAACCAAACUCCUCAGCCAAGAUCUUGGAACGAAUCUUGGGAUCAUCUCUUGGGCCAAUGCGACCUUCAUCAAUAGCCUCAGGAAGACCUUCCUCAAGGGGCCUUGCUUCCAUGUACAGACGGUUAUGCUUGUUUGGAGACUUACUCAUCACUGUACGGCAGGACUUAUCAAGGACAGUCUCACGGAAGGACACAACGGGGUCAGACUUUAUAAUCUCAGCACCACCCAUAAAAUCAUCUUGUAGAUCCUUCAAACAGAUCUCAAGAUGCAGUUCACCAGCACCAGCAAUAAUGUGCUCUCCAGACUCCUCAAUGGAGCAGACAACCAUAGGAUCAGACUUGGCCAAACGUUUGAGACCUUCAACAAGUUUGGGAAGGUCAGAUGCAACCUUGCACUGGACAGCAACACGCACGACAGGUGAAACGGAGAACUUCAUAGCACGGAUAGGGUGAGCAUCCACUUCCUUCUCAUUAGUUAAAGUUGCAUUCUUGGUAAUAAACUGAUCCAGACCGACCAAUGCCACAGUGUUACCGCAAGGAACAUCCUCAACAGUUUCUUGUCUCUUUCCCAUCCAAAUAACAGUCCUCUGUACGUUCUUAACGUACAAAUCCUUCUUCUCUCCGGGAACAAAAUUUGGACCCAUGAUUCUAACCUUCAAUCCUGUCUGAACUCUACCAGCAAAGACACGGCCAAAGGCAAAGAAUCUACCCUUAUCAGAAGCGGGAAUCAUCUUGGACACAUAGAGCAUAAGAGGUCCAUCGGGGUCACAGUUCCUGAUGGCAUUGGCAUAUUGAUCAUCAAGAGGACCCUCGUACAAAUUCUCAACACGGUACUUUUGAGCUGUUGACGGAGAUGGAAGGUGAAAAAUCAUCAUUUCCAAUAAAGCAGUGCUAGCUGGUAACCAGGUCUGCAUAACACGCUUCAUCAGAGCCUUCCCCAUCAGGUCCUUCUCAUCACUCUUCAUGGUGACACCAAGCUUUGUCAACAUGGGCCACAACUUAUCCUUCUGAUCAUUCAUGCAGGUGUUGAUGAUCUGCUUGAUGGGUUCGUAACAGAACUGAACAAAACCACGCUUGCAGGUAGCAGUGCCGGUGCUCUUGCUGGUCCAUUUCUUCGUAGCUGGGUCAAAAAAGUUCUCACCCCAGAGCCUUUCCAUCAUCUUUGACUCAUCAACUCCAAACUUGGAAGCAUACAUCUUAGCGAAGUUGGUCAGAGUGAAAGCCCAACCGUGCAAACCAGCUGAGAAGGCGACUGUUCCUUUCUCUGGGUACACUUGGACAUCACCAAGAAGUGGAUCUUCAUAUGUAGCCAUAAUGACAUUAGCAUUCUCAAUAACCCUUUGGAAUGUCUGGUAAGCUUCCUCUCCAUCAACCUGGAGCUCAAGGAAGCAUCUGUCCAUCUUGUUAACGGUCAAAACAGGCCUGAUCCUCUCUCCCAAUGCUUGACGGAGCACAGUCUCAGUCUGGACACACACACCCUCAAUACAAUCCACCACCACAAGUGCUCCAUCAGUAAUACGCAGAGCAGCUGUGACUUCAGAUGAAAAGUCAACGUGCCCGGGGGAAUCAAUGAGAUUGAUGAGGUACUCAUUUCCGUUCCUCUCUCCCUUGUACCUCUGCAAAGACUCAUCAGUCAUCUCAUAGUACAGAGAGAUACCGGUAGAUUUAAUUGUGAUACCACGCUCUGCCUCAUCUGCGCGAGUAUCAGUCAUCCGAACAUCACCAGCAACUUCUUGUGCAAUGAUACCCGCAGCAGCAACAAGCGAGUCUGUAAGAGUUGACUUCCCUGCAUAUCAAAUUUCAAAAACAUUAUAUGUUUUGAGGAAACACCAUAGGACAUAAACAAAUAAAUGGAUAAAACGCAACUAUACAUAUUAACUGGUGAAAUAUUUCAAAUUAUAACCAAUAGAGAAAAGUUCAAAAUACUGAAAAAAAAUACACUUGACCAAAAUAUUACAACAUUAAAAAUUUUCUUUAACCAGGUUAAUAAAAACACCUUGUAACAAAGACAAGAAUUAUCAAGUGAAAAUAAAAAAGAUCUAUACCGUGAUCAACAUGAGCAAUAACAGACAUAUUGCGAAUGUUGUGCUUGUAGUCCAUAAUCCUACGGAGUUCUUCUGCUGUAAACUUCACCUGCAAUAUCAAGAAUAUCACACCAUUGUGAAUUAAGGAAUCAAUGGAGCAGCUCAGGAAUCACUAUGUAACCAUGUUCAGAUUGAUAGUCAGUGUUUACCAUCUUGACUAGUCUUUAAGAACAACCGGCAAUUAGUUUUUAUAAGAAGCUGAUUAACCGACAAGGAAACACCUGCAAAUUUAAACAACAAAAAAAUGAACUGGAAUUCAACUUGGAAUAUAAACAUUUAAAAUGACUAGAAAAUGACACACCAAUACAUUUCUAUGUUUAAAAAAUGACCAGAAAAAAAAAAUAGCAAUUUGUAUUCCACCAAAAGACUAUUGAAUUCCGGUAAAAGGAAUACAUAAUUUUUACUGUAUCAAGCAAUCUUAAUAAUCAAGACAAGUUAUUCGGUAAACGGUCUUGACAAAAGAAAAGGUAAUCACAAAUCAUUCCUUAUCAAUUAGGAUGAUCCUAUUAAUUUAGGGCCACCAAUAACAACAAAAUAGAAAACAAGUACGCAUAAUAAUUCUCUCUUACAAAUUAGUAUAUUUUAGAACGAAAAUUAUUCUGGAAAAUAUUUUUAUAUUAUUUCUUUGACAUGAAUAGGAAACAAAAUGUUCUGAAAAAAUUACUCAUAAAUUCAAACGAAACCUUAAUUUUCGAAAAUCUUUCCACUAAAAAAAUUGCUCAACGAAACUAUUUUCCAGCAAAACAACAGAGUAUUAGUACGAUCAAAGUAGAAAACAAGAUCUAGCAAAUACAAAACAUCUAGGGUAGUGCUAACCACACACCCACUUUACUUUUCACACACACUCAACUUUCUGCUGUAGGAUAAAAUGAAUUGAAGAAGAUCAAUGGCUAAAAACUAAAAAUGGAUGUGUGAACAAUUUACAAAUACUAGCGAAAUUAUCAUAUAUCACGUAAAAAUUAUCAAAAACGUCAGAAAAUUAUUCCACAGCAAAAAAAAUUUCACGUAAAAAUUUUCCGAUGAACCAACCAGAGCCUGAGAGAGUGAUCUGUACGGAAAACAAGGAUCUAAUACAAACACAUUUCACACAAACAUAUAUACACACACAAUGCAUCCGUAAAACCUGAGCAACGAUCGAAACGAUAAACGAGCAAAGACAUAAUACCAAACCAAAAGCAUGCAUAACAAUAAUAUAUUUCCAACAAUACAAAAUGCAUGCAGAUCACAGAUUUUUCAGAACAACAAAAUGCAUGAUUAACGACGAUAAUCAAGAAAUCACGAGGAUAAUCGGGGGGAUUAAAUCAAAGGAAGCGACUGAUUCGAAUAGCAUAGAAUUAGAGGAACGAACCUGAAGGAUCGGGAGAUGGAGAGCGAGGGAGGGAUGGAGAGAGGAGUGACUCUCCGCAGCCUAGAGCUAGUGGUGCAAAUGGGACUGAGAGAAUGUGUGGAGCCCGGAGGAGGGUGUGAGUGUUAUAUAAGGUUAGGGUUUUCGUUUCUUGGGUUGGGCUCCGCUUUCAUAGUUUAUACUAUUUUCUAGGCCCACCAAAAUCUCCAUCGGCCUUUUUUUAUUCUAAAAUCAUGGGCCUUAGGGCUUUUUAUUUAUUUUUUAUUUUUAACAACAUUAUAUAAUUAUGGAUAAUGAUGGGAAGAUCAAAUUUGAAAAUCAAAUAAAUAGAAAAUUAGCACGUUAAUUAAUAUUUCAAUAAUAAUUCAAUUACAUUUCAUAAUCAUAAAAGUCGACUAAGUGCAAAAAGACGGCCACACAUGACCUUUGCCAAUCGACCUAUUCCACAGUUGUAUGACCUAGGUUAAGAAGGUCAAAGCUUCUUGUUAGACACUCAAAACUCAAAACUUCAAAUUCUUGUUUAUUAAUUAAACAAAAAAUAUUGAGAAAAGUUAUUAGCAUUUUAGUAUGGCAUGUUUUUCUUUGAUUGUAAGUGAGAGAAAAGUGAGAAGUGGAAAUGAAUACAACUACACUGUCGUGCUAAGCAGCCUCCAAUAUUCGUAAGGUAGGCAUAAACUUCUUCGUCUAAUAAACGUUUUCUAAAUAUGAGCCUAGGGUUUAUUUACAAGAUAUACAUAUAUUCUAACCAAUUCACUUAACCCAACCCACACUUGCAAAGAUAGCCUAGAUUUAAAAAGCCUUAGCUCCCCCAAACACUUCUACUUUGGACACCAAACCCCAACUCUCUUUUUUUCAUUUUUGUAGCCAAAACUAUAGUAUCUACAUGUAACAACAUUGAUAUCAAGUCGAUGAAUUGUAUAGCAUGAAUUUUAAAGGGUGUUUGUUUGCCCUCACUAAGCUUCACUAGAUUGGAUUGGCUUAGCUGGAAUUUCUAAUUCGUGUUUGGUUGGAACAAGGAUUAAGUAUAAUGGGACUAAGUCGGAUUCGUGCCAACUAAGUCCUUCACUCCCAGUUCUUAGCUAGGUUGCCCGAAACAUAUGGGAUUGCUAAUCCCGUCUCUAAAGCUGUGUACAAAGUCUGCACGCUGCAUCAUCUACACGCUGCAAGUCAUCUGCAAUCAUGCUUCUUUGCAACUCUGUUUGGCCACCUAUGCCCAGAUCUGAAACCCACCACACCCACUGCCUAAUUCUCAACAUCCAACUACCAAAAUUCGAAAAGAAAAAAAGUCAAUUCGAUAACAACAACAAACUCAAUAGAAAAAUUCUUCAUUUUUCCUAGAAAAUUAAGAGAAUUUUUGAGACAAUCAAAGGAGUGGCGAGAAAUAGAGUGGUCGUGAAAUCCAUGACGCAGCAGAGGGGUGCCUCUGCACGAUUUCAAUUCUCCGUGGGAUAUGAAGUUGGGAAACCAGAAUCUGUGGUGCCAGAAAUAGUUUAGAGGAAUCACAACAGCAAAGAAAAGGAAAGGGAAAAAAAGAGAACAAAACGGGGGUGAUGAAUGACGUUGAGUGAGGAGAGAGUGGAAAGGAAAAGAAAAAGACGAAGAGAGUGGAAAGGAAAAAUAAGAAAAAAAUGUGGAAAGAAAAAAAUGUGAAGAAAAAAAUGACGAAAUUAUUUGAUUUUCCAAAAUAAUGUAGUCCGUAACUUAGUCCGAUAUUGCAUCAACCGCUCCAUUAUUCUUAUCCUACUUAGUCCAUGCCUAGCCAAUCUAACUUAAUCUUUAAAGCUAAUCUAGUCCGAAAUAAUCCAAUACAACAAACGCACCCAAUCCCAUAUUGAUGCAGGCCAACCAAAUUCAUAAACUAGCACAAUUAAGAAUACAAAGCCGCUGGUUCCACAACUUACAAAACCUGAAUCAAACACGAGCUAGAGCGGUUUUCGGCACCUGUGCAGCCACUCGUAUUGGCGGCGCGCGAGCCGAGCAUUGCAACCACCACCUUCGAGGCGUUUUCCCAUCUCUAAUGAAAUAGUAGCAGAAGAAGCUGUUGCAGGUCUUCAAGUUAGAAAGAACAAACAUCAAUCAAAUACAUGAAACAAAGUAGACAAAAGUAUAGUAAAUUCAAAAAGCGUGUAGCAACAAUGGCAGAAAUUGUUCCACAAGCAACAAGGUAAAAGCAGAACAUUAUAAAGGUCUCUGUUCUGAGCACGCACAAAACAUUUAACUACUGGCACCCAGAUGCUGACUACAGCAACAAUGUUAACAACAUUAAACAAAAACGAUUAAACUGGAAACCAAAAAAUUAACGCAGUGCAUCGAAAACAAAUUAUUACUCAAAGCUUGUCCUCAAACUCGGAUAGUGGGGUCAUCUGCUCCUUCAAUCCCUUCCUCUUACGGAUGUCGGUAACAAGUGCUGCAGCCUGGGAUCCAGCUUCCAAUGGAUCAGACGACAUCAUCUCCCAAUGAUCAAACACACAUUGUGGGAAAGCCUGUCCAGAAGUUGCAGCCCUCAGUUGACCAGAGAAUCCAAAGGACUCGACAACGGGGAGGUAUGCCUUGAUGUUGUAAAGUGGAGUUCCCGGCCUCUGCAUCUCCUCAAACACGUGUCCACGUUUCUGAUUCAGAACACUGUAUAUACCUCCAAGAGCCCCCUCUGGAGCUUGAAUUUCAACAAGAUACACUGGUUCGAGAAGCCUUGGCUUGGCUGUGAGCUGAGAGGCAUAGAUGACCCUCCGAGCAGUUGGAAUGACCUGACCUCCCCCUCUGUGGAUGGCAUCAGCGUGAAGAACCACAUCACAAACUUCAAAGCAAAUACCUCUCAUGUUUUCUUCUGCCAAUGCACCUUCCUUUGAGGCCCACUGGAACCCAGCAACAACUGAAUCCUUGAUUUCAUUAAGGUACUGGACUCCCUUACACAUGUCGACCACCAUGUUAGGACCAGUGGUCUCGGGACCAAAACACCAGAUUUUCUUAGCAAGAUCCUUGUCCCAACCAAACUCCUCAGCCAAGAUCUUGGAACGAAUCUUGGGAUCAUCUCUUGGGCCAAUGCGACCUUCAUCAAUAGCCUCAGGAAGCCCUUCCUCAAGGGGCCUUGCUUCCAUGUACAGACGGUUAUGCUUGUUUGGAGACUUGCUCAUCACUGUACGGCAGGACUUAUCAAGGACAGUCUCACGGAAGGACACAACAGGGUCAGACUUUAUAAUCUCAGCACCACCCAUAAAAUCAUCUUGCAGAUCCUUCAAACAGAUCUCAAGAUGCAGUUCACCAGCACCAGCAAUAAUGUGCUCUCCCGACUCCUCAAUGGAGCAGACAACCAUAGGAUCAGACUUGGCCAAACGCUUGAGACCUUCAACAAGUUUGGGAAGGUCAGAUGCAACCUUGCACUGGACAGCAACACGCACGACGGGUGAAACUGAGAACUUCAUAGCACGAAUAGGGUGAGCAUCCACUUCCUUCUCAUUUGUUAAAGUAGCAUUCUUGGUGAUAAACUGAUCCAAACCGACCAAGGCAACAGUGUUACCGCAAGGAACAUCCUCAACAGUUUCUU